rnacentral:tRNA from 1 species
GGGGGCUCAGUGGUAGAGUGCUUGCCUUGCAUGCAUGAGACCCUGGGUUCGAUUCCUCAGCACCA